GGGGAAGGGUAGCUUGCUACCUAACCUAGCGGCGGACGGGUGAGUAAUGCUUAGGAAUCUGCCUAUUAGUGGGGGACAACAUUCCGAAAGGAAUGCUAAUACCGCAUACGCCCUACGGGGGAAAGCAGGGGAUCUUCGGACCUUGCGCUAAUAGAUGAGCCUAAGUCAGAUUAGCUAGUUGGUGGGGUAAAGGCCUACCAAGGCGACGAUCUGUAGCGGGUCUGAGAGGAUGAUCCGCCACACUGGGACUGAGACACGGCCCAGACUCCUACGGGAGGCAGCAGUGGGGAAUAUUGGACAAUGGGCGCAAGCCUGAUCCAGCCAUGCCGCGUGUGUGAAGAAGGCCUUUUGGUUGUAAAGCACUUUAAGCGAGGAGGAGGCUACCGAGAUUAAUACUCUAGGAUAGUGGACGUUACUCGCAGAAUAAGCACCGGCUAACUCUGUGCCAGCAGCCGCGGUAAUACAGAGGGUGCGAGCGUUAAUCGGAUUUACUGGGCGUAAAGCGUGCGUAGGCGGCUUUUUAAGUCGGAUGUGAAAUCCCUGAGCUUAACUUAGGAAUUGCAUUCGAUACUGGGAAGCUAGAGUAUGGGAGAGGAUGGUAGAAUUCCAGGUGUAGCGGUGAAAUGCGUAGAGAUCUGGAGGAAUACCGAUGGCGAAGGCAGCCAUCUGGCCUAAUACUGACGCUGAGGUACGAAAGCAUGGGGAGCAAACAGGAUUAGAUACCCUGGUAG
rnacentral:rRNA from 1 species